AUUACUCUCUCGAUAGCCAUUAGGCCGAAGUUCUGUGCGCAUGGUAUCUAAGGAAUUUCUCGUGAAAUUUAGUUUAUACAAUCUGAUACAUUGGACAAAUCAUCAGUUUGGACGACUGUUCACAUAUUCUAGGGGUCCCCGUAGCCACAUUGGUUGCGCGUUCACUUAAAUAGUUACGUCCACGCAACAAUCAUCAGCGAUGGAGAUCGAUCCACGGUCGAAACAAGAUCGAUUCAUCCAUACAACUGCUCUGAUCUGCAAGAAACAUCGGGCUGCUGUUCUAUAAAUAACUCAACAAUGAUCAUAUCAACUGUCUCCGCUGUCCGGUCUAACUGGAUAAUGGAAGAACAGAAUGAAUACUCUUAAUAGAAGGAAUACUGGCGAAUGGCAACUGUGUAAUGUGCUAUAAUUAUAGAUAUAAUAACCAUGUGACAUGUACACGAUUAAAAUUCGGCUCUUUUUUUUUCCCCCCCAAAAUAUAUAUUUUAUUAAGGCACAUGUGGCUUUAGCCUGACGGGGCCGGGAGUCCAAUAUUUUGACAAUUUUUGUCUUACAACUAUGUUAGUAAUAUGUAACCGAUUACUCGCGGUUGGCUCGAGGUUAGUAUUACAAGUGUUCUCAUAAUUGGUAUGUUGCAGUCUUCGAUGCUCUGUACGUGUGCCCGACACGGGAUACUUCCUAUUGGGAUGCAGCUGACCAUUAAUCAGCAACGCCCCCCUAGUCUGUACCCCAUAUCUAGCGUGGUGCGUCUUUCUCGCCUCGAGGAAUCCAGGAUAGAAUGGUCACUAGC